rnacentral:rRNA from 1 species
AGUGAACGCUGGCGGUAGGCCUAACACAUGCAAGUCGAACGGCAGCACAGUAAGAGCUUGCUCUUACGGGUGGCGAGUGGCGGACGGGUGAGGAAUACAUCGGAAUCUACUUUUUCGUGGGGGAUAACGUAGGGAAACUUACGCUAAUACCGCAUACGACCUACGGGUGAAAGCAGGGGAUCUUCGGACCUUGCGCGAUUGAAUGAGCCGAUGUCGGAUUAGCUAGUUGGCGGGGUAAAGGCCCACCAAGGCGACGAUCCGUAGCUGGUCUGAGAGGAUGAUCAGCCACACUGGAACUGGGACACGGUCCAGACUCCUACGGGAGGCAGCAGUGGGGAAUAUUGGACAAUGGGCGCAAGCCUGAUCCAGCCAUACCGCGUGGGUGAAGAAGGCCUUCGGGUUGUAAUGCCCUUUUGUUGGGAAAGAAAAGCAGCAGGUUAAUACCCCGCCGUUCUGACGGUACCCAAAGAAUAAGCACCGGCUAACUUCGUG